rnacentral:rRNA from 1 species
UACGUAGGGUGCAAGCGUUAAUCGGAAUUACUGGGCGUAAAGCGUGCGCAGGCGGUUAUGUAAGACAGGUGUGAAAUCCCCGGGCUUAACCUGGGAACUGCAUUUGUGACUGCAUAGCUAGAGUACGGUAGAGGGGGAUGGAAUUCCGCGUGUAGCAGUGAAAUGCGUAGAUAUGCGGAGGAACACCGAUGGCGAAGGCAAUCCCCUGGGCCUGCGCUGACGCUCAUGCACGAAAGCGUGGGGAGCAAACAGG